GGACAGGUGGCAGAGCGGUCGAUUGCUCCGGUCUUGAAAACCGGCGUGGGGGCAACCCCACCGUGGGUUCGAAUCCCACCCUGUCCGCCA
rnacentral:tRNA from 1 species